CAUUUUGGUCCUUGACGCGCUAUUGUUUAUAAUCUAAUUACACAUGCAAGCCUCCGCACGCCAGUGAGAAGCCCAAUAGACUCUUCAUGAGCCAAGGAGACGGCAUCAGGCACACCACGUACAGCCAAUCACGCCACGCAAAUUGCCACACCCACAAGGGCCCCAGCAGUGAACAAUAUUAAGAUAUAAGUGAAAACUUGACUUAGUUAAGAUUAAUGACGGCCGGUAAAUCUCGUGCCAGCCACCGCGGUUAUACGAGAGGCCAAAAACAACAGCUACUGGCGUAAAGAGUGAUCAGAGUAAAACCAACACAUUAAGGGGGCACCAAUCCUAAGCCGUGAAACCCAUAAGAAAUAAGAACUUCAACAACCCUUAAUAAAAAGAUAACUUUAACCCACGAAAGUUGGGACACAAACUGGGAUUAGAUACCCCACUAUGCCCAACCCUGAACUUAGACAGCCAAAAAUCUUAAGCUGUUCGCCCGGGAAUUACAAGCAAAAGCUAGAAACCCAAAGGACUUGGCGGUGCCCAAUAUCAAACUAGAGGAGCCUGUCCCAUAACCGAUAAUCCACGAUAAACCUUACCACCCUUUGAAAAUUCAGCCUAUAUACCGCCGUCGCCAGCCCACCUUAUGAAAGCACAGCAGUGGGCACAACAGCACACGCGAGAACGCCAGGUCAAGGUGUAGCUAAUAGGGUGGAGGUGAUGGGCUACAUUUCCUAAUGCCGAUAAUAUACGAAAGGCCCUAUGAAAACCGAGCCAGAAGGUGGAUUUAGCAGUAAAACAGAUAAGACUGUCUGCUUGAAGCAAGCCCUGGGGCACGCACACACCGCCCGUCACCCUCCUCAAGCUUCUUUUAACCAUAACAUAUACAACCAGCGCAAACACAGAUGAGGUA
rnacentral:ncRNA from 1 species